GGUUCGAUGGCGUAGUUGGUUAUCGCAUCUGUCUAACAUAUAGAGUUUACACAGAAGGUCCCCGGUUCGAGCCCGGGUCGAAUCA
rnacentral:tRNA from 2 species